rnacentral:pre_miRNA from 1 species
UCUUAGGGAUGAGCAAACAGUGGUUUCUUGAGAUGGAAUCUACUCCUGAUGAAGAUGCUUUGAA